GCUAUUUCUUCUAUUAGUUCAACAGAAAAAAAGGACAUUAACAAAAAUGUAUGCUAUUUUCAAAGGCAGAUUGUGAGCGUAAAUGAACGGUGACCCUAUUUUUGUAUUUAAUUUUUCUAUUAAGUAUAAGAUAAAGUUCAUUUAUAGAAAAAUAUAUAGAAAUCCUAUAUUAAAUAAAAAAAAUGAUUUAGACCCGCGAGCCCCCUUAAG
rnacentral:lncRNA from 1 species